rnacentral:lncRNA from 10 species
UCAGCGGUGGACUCUCGCCUGUCUUCUCUGUGGGAUCACGGCAUAGUUCCAUGAUCUUAGUAGAGGGCAGACAUGAGCCAGCCUAAAGAAACCUGCACCACUGUGAUUUCCAGAGGGCUGCAUUAUUCCUGUAAGAUGAGAAACAGACAGCCUAUUUUGGCUUUUGCAUGGUGAUCAAGCCUCUGUUGUAUUUCAUCUGCAAGUCUUCUCAUUAGGAGGGGCUUUUUCAUUGUCUGCUGCUGGAUGGAACAGCCUCUUGCCACAGAUUAUUUGGCUGCCAGGGAUUUCAAAGAGCACAAGAGACUUCAGAGAGCUGCUACAAGGCUCAGGAUGAAGGGAGGCAGUGAGAUAAAGAGCCCAGCCAUCUUUCACUGACACCCACCUCUGGGGUCUCAGGUAUGGUUCUAUCUCCUAAGGAAUGCUCAACAACGCACCAGAUUUUAUUCCAAUCUCCAUGGGACCCGAUUCUGGUACACAGUCUCUUUUGGUAAUGGAGUCAGAAGAACAGUUUCUGGGAAACACCUCACUGUCUUGAAACACCUCCCCUUUCAGGCUGGCUGACAAUUCUAACAGCUGGGCACCGGAGCCUGCUUCAUGAAUGCUCAUCAGCUAGUCUCAGGGCACCAGGCCUGAAAUAAACUGUGAAAUCCCUAAGGAUCCAAAAGGAUUCACAGGAUUUCUCAUUCCUGCCUA